rnacentral:rRNA from 1 species
CAACGUAGGUAACCUGCCCAUGUGUCCGGGAUAACUGCUGGAAACGGUAGCUAAAACCGGAUAGGUAUACAGAGCGCAUGCUCAGUAUAUUAAAGCGCCCUUCAAGGCGUGAACAUGGAUGGACCUGCGGCGCAUUAGCUAGUUGGUGAGGUAACGGCCCACCAAGGCGAUGAUGCGUAGCCGGCCUGAGAGGGUAAACGGCCACAUUGGGACUGAGACACGGCCCAG